AGAGUUUGAUCAUGGCUCAGGAUGAACGCUAGCGGCAGGCUUAACACAUGCAAGUCGAGGGGCAGCGCGGGAUAGCAAUAUCCUGGCGGCGACCGGCGGAGGGGUGCGUAACGCGUGAGCGACAUGCCCGUUGCCCGGGGACAACCGGUGGAAACGCCGACUAAUCCCCGAUGGGAUACGAUGCUUCAUGGCAUUGUAUUGAAAGUUACGGCGGCGACGGAUUGGCUCGCGUCCGAUUAGCUUGUUGGCGGGGUAACGGCCCACCAAGGCUACGAUCGGUAGGGGUUCUGAGAGGAAGGCCCCCCACAAUGGGACUGAGACACGGCCCAUACUCCUACGGGAGGCAGCAGUGAGGAAUAUUGGUCAAUGGGCGGAAGCCUGAACCAGCCAUGCCGCGUGCGGGAAGGAGGCCCUAUGGGCUGUGAACCGCUUUUGCCUGGGGGCAAUAAGGGCGUCGCGCACGUCCGAUGAGAGUACCAGGCGAAUAAGCAUCGGCUAACUCCGUGCCAGCAGCCGCGGUAAUACGGGGGAUGCGAGCGUUAUCCGGAUUCAUUGGGUUUAAAGGGUGCGUAGGCUGUGCGUCAAGUCGGGGGUGAAAUUCCGGUGCUCAACACCGGGGCUGCCCUUGAUACUGUCGCGCUGGAGUGCGGAUGCCGCCGGAGGAAUGAGUGGUGUAGCGGUGAAAUGCUUAGAUAUCACUCAGAACACCGAUUGCGAAGGCAUCUGGCGAAUCCGUAACUGACGCUGAGGCACGAAAGCGUGGGGCUAGAACAGGAUUAGAUACCCUGGUAUUCCACGCCGUAAACGAUGAUGGCUAACCGCCGGCGACACACUGUCGGUGGCCAAGCGAAAGCGAUAAGCCAUCCACCUGGGGAGUACGUCGGCAACGAUGAAACUCAAAGGAAUUGACGGGGGCCCGCACAAGCGGAGGAACAUGUGGUUUAAUUCGAUGAUACGCGAGGAACCUUACCCGGGCUUGAAUUGCAGAGGAAGGAUUUGGAGACAAUGACGCCCUUCGGGGUCUCUGUGAAGGUGCUGCAUGGUUGUCGUCAGCUCGUGCCGUGAGGUGUCGGCUUAAGUGCCAUAACGAGCGCAACCCCUCUCCUUAGUUGCCAUCAGGUUAAGCUGGGCACUCUGGGGACACUGCCACCGUAAGGUGUGAGGAAGGUGGGGAUGACGUCAAAUCAGCACGGCCCUUACGUCCGGGGCUACACACGUGUUACAAUGGCAGGUACAGAGAGACGGUUGUACGUAAGUACGAUCAAAUCCUUAAAGCCUGUCUCAGUUCGGACUGGGGUCUGCAACCCGACCCCACGAAGCUGGAUUCGCUAGUAAUCGCGCAUCAGCCAUGGCGCGGUGAAUACGUUCCCGGGCCUUGUACACACCGCCCGUCAAGCCAUGAAAGCCGGGGGCGCCUAAAGUCCGUGACCGUAAGGAGCGGCCUAGGGCGAAACUGGUAAUUGGGGCUAAGUCGUAACAAGGUA
rnacentral:rRNA from 1 species